rnacentral:tRNA from 2 species
AGGAUAGUAGUUAAUUAUAACAUUUGAAUUGCACUCAAAAAGUAUUGAAUUUUCAAUCUAUCUU